rnacentral:rRNA from 1 species
UACGUAGGGUCCGAGCGUUGUCCGGAAUUACUGGGCGUAAAGAGCUCGUAGGUGGUUUGUCGCGUUGUUCGUGAAAACUCACAGCUUAACUGUGGGCGUGCGGGCGAUACGGGCAGACUAGAGUACUGCAGGGGGAGACUGGAAUUCCUGGUGUAGCGGUGAAAUGCGUAGAUAUCGGGGAGGAAUACCUAUGGCGAAAGCAGGCUUCUGGGCUAUCACUGACGCUGAUCUGCGAAAGCUAGGGGGAGCAAACAGG